rnacentral:tRNA from 1 species
GGCUCGUUGGUCUAGAGGUAUGAUUCUUGCUUCGAGUGCGAGAGGUCCCAGGUUCAAAUCUCUGACGAGCUA